rnacentral:rRNA from 1 species
AUUGAACGCUGGCGGCAUGCCUAACACAUGCAAGUCGAACGGUAGAGGGGCGUUCGGUCCGGGGGUCAGUGGCGGACGGGUGAGUAAUGCCUAGGAAUGUGCCUAGUAGUGGGGGAUAACGCCGGGAACGGGGCGCUAAUACCGCAUACGUCCUGAGGGUGAAAGUGGGGGAUCUUCGGGCCUCGCGCUAUCAGAUGAGCCUAUGUCGGAUUAGCUAGUUGGUGGGGUAAAGGCUUACCAAGGCGACGAUCCGUAGCUGGUCUGAGAGGACGAUCAGCCACACUGGGACUGAGACACGGCCCAGACUCCUACGGGAGGCAGCAGUGGGGAAUAUUGGACAAUGGGGGAAAGCCUGAUCCAGCCAUGCCGCGUGUGGGAAGAAGGCCUUCGGGUUGUAAAGCACUUUUGUUUGGGAAGAAGGGCACUAGGUUAAUACCUGGGUGUGUUGACGGUACCGGAAGAAUAAGCACCGGCUAACUACGUG